GGAGAGAUGGCCGAGCGGUUCAAGGCGUAGCAUUGGAACUGCUAUGUAGACUUUUGUUU
rnacentral:tRNA from 1 species